rnacentral:sRNA from 1 species
AUAGAAUUAAAUACACAUACAUGAAAAGUUCAAGCAAUCGAGCACAAAUAUUUUAAUUGUCUAAAAUGACAUUUUCUUUAAGAGUUAUCUACAGUUUAAAGCUCACUUUUAUGAAGUGUCACAUCCAUCACCAUUUUAAGAGACAUAAAAUCAUGAAAAGAUAUCACCAGAAGCUACGUAAACAUUUCAGCUAAGGGUAAAGAGAAAGUUAAGGGUGUUUUCACAAGGAAAUUGAAAGAAGGCAAUCUGAAUGAACUCAACAUGGUCACACAAAAAUCUUGGUAAAAGAACUAGAAUAGAAGCCCAAACUGCUGAGCAAGUGGGAGAAGAAAAGAAGACUUGGUACAAACAGAUCACACAAGGGAACCCAGGACAAAUGCUGACUUUGGCAUUAUCUAAGUAACCCUUUUUUUUUUUGUCAUAGGUGACUCUGAUAAUAGACCUAUUGUUGCAAAACCAGUCAAAAUCCUACCAAAUUAAAAAGAAGUCCCUCAUUGACUUGUUGGGUGUAGGUGGUACCCCAUGUCCUUGCACACCAAAAGAGAUAAUUUCUGGCAAGAAAGCUCCAACAUGCCUUGAUGGUGCUGCUGGUAGGAUAACUUAGGCCAGGCACAUCCCAGCGAUGUUCUGUUGGCUGAGGUAAAAGGUGGGAGGAGAAUAUGCCUUAUUCAUUACUCAAUCAACUUCGUAGCCUUGAAGAAGCAUCACAGGUAGAAGACCUGCCAGGUGGCUAGUCCAAUGAGGCAGAACAUUGAAAAGAUGCUGAAGUAUAGGACCCAAGGGUUUGUUGACUCACUGGUAUCACCAUCUCCUCUUCUCUCUUCUUCAUGUAGGCAAAACCAUUAACAAUAUAUUCUGAAAGGUCUUCUAGGUGUCGCAGCUUCACCUCUAAUUGUUUGAGCUUCUCAACUUUUGCAAUCUCUUUGUAAUUUUUCACCUCCACUCCAUGCUUCAUGUCUAGGAUCACGAGUUGGUCAGGUAUCCGCCCUGUUCCCUUGCUCUCAAAACACACUUCAAACAUGUCAUAAUCUUCAGUGGUAAAGGCAAAUUUCCCCUUGGUUGCAUUCUCUUUGUAGUAGAAAAUAUGGCCAGCAGAAUCUGUGAUCUUGAGGUGGCUGCACAGGCUGCCAGUGCCGCCAGACUGGUCAGAGAUCUCAUAUGUGCCAGUCACCAGUAGGUCCUUGUGGAUCUCCUCACAGAGGCACUUGUGAGAGUUAAUGGGCAGAUGGAAGGAGAUGGCGAGGACCAAGCUGGGGCCCAGCAGGAACAAAAGCAGCAACGCCGACAGACAAGGGCCAUGCCGGGCUGGUGGGCCAGACAAACCAGACAUGGUGCUGGAGACUCAUUCCCCCUUUAGCCCUUCUGCUGGGGAUCAACAUCCCCUACUAUGAGUCCUCUACCAUGAUGUGUUCAGGCCCCAACACUGUCCUAUCUAUGCCCCCCAUCCCCCUGAAAAGCUAGUUUUGACCUUUCUUCAGCUUAGGCAGAGGGCUGUGUCUUUCUCCAUGGUUAGAGACCAGGUGGCAGGGAAGGACACAACCAGCACAAAGACUCAGACCACAGGUCCAUCCUGCCCUCUACCUGGGAUGAAUUUUCAGGUCUUGCUUCCUUUCUCUGGAGCAGGACUUCAAGCUUCCAAACCUGAUGUAAUCUCCAGGCUGGAGCAGGGGGACGAACCAUGGACCCCUCACAUCCUGAGAACUUGGGGGAGCUGGAGCUGGAGGCACAAGAGAGAAGGCUAUGAUUCUAGGAUUGAAAAAGAGGAACUGAUUCCAAAGCAGGACAUUUCCAAAGAAUUGGAAUCCCAGAGAGCAAAAUCAGAAGAUCAUGUAAGGAAUAUUUUUAAGGAAACUGAAGAGAUGAGUAAAACUGAGGGAAAGUUAGAGAAUUGCUGGAGAAAAUAUGCAGUAGAAGGAGUUAAGAACUCAUUCUCCCAGAAGCACAAUUUCAGAGAAAUUACCAUGAGGUAUGUGAAAACUCUCUAGAGAGAAUGGCCAGAAGUUCAAUACUGUUGGAGAAAACUGCAUCACAGACUCAAAUCCUGCCAAACAUCUUAAAGGGUCUAGAGAGGAGAGUCUCCAUCCAAGUGUGUCAAGUGUAGAAAACUUGCAACAACAUGAGGACCUCAUUAACCUCUGGAGUUUCCAAUUAGGAGAAAGAGCCUGUCAGACAGAUGUGUUAGUGAAAGUGCCCAGACAGAGUUCAGUUCUUAGUGAGAAUCAGAGGAUGAAUAAUCCAGAGAGACCGUUUGAGUGUACUGGGCAUGGAAAAACUUACAAUCAGAACAGAGCUUUUAACCAGCACCAGAGAAUUCUUAGUGGAGAGAAGCCCUAUGAGUGCAAUGAAUGUGGAAAAGCUUUCAAUCAGCCCUCUAUCCUCAGUAAACAUCAGAGAAUCCACACUGGUAAGAAACCCUACACAUGUGAGGAUUGUGGCAAAUCGUUCAGUGCUCACUCAUACUUUAUUCAGCAUUGUAAAAUUCACACUAGAGAAAAACCCUAUGAGUGUAUUAAAUGUGGGAAAGCUUUUAGUACACAUUCAUCUUAUGUUCAACACCUAAAAAUUCAUACAGGAGAGAAACCUCAUGAGUGUAAUCAGUGUGGGAAAGCCUUUAGUCAUAGCUCUAAUCUAAUUCAUCAUCAGAGAAUUCAUAGUGGAGAGAAACCUUACAAGUGCAAAGAAUGUGAGAAAGCCUUCAACAGACAAUCACACCUUAUUCAGCAUCAGAGAAUUCAUUCUGGAGAGAAACCUUAUGACUGUAAGGAGUGUGGCAAAGCCUUCAGUACACAAUUAUCUCUCAUUCAGCAUCAGAGAAUUCAUACAGGAGAAAAGCCCUACGAAUGUAAUGAAUGUGGAAAAUCCUUUAGCCUGAACUGAACUCUGACUGUCCAUCACAGAAUUCAUACUGGAGAGAAACCUUAUAGGUGUAAUGAAUGUGGGAAAUCCUUUAGUCAAUGUUCACAAGUUAUUCAACAUAAGAGAAUUCACACUGGAGAGAAACCUUAUAUCUGCAAUGAGUGUGGAAAAUCAUUUGGUGCUCGCCUAUCCCUUAUCCAGCAUCAGAGAAUUCACACUGGAGAGAAACCUUAUGGUUGUACUGUGUGUGGGAAAACCUUUAGUCAAAAGGGACAUCUUAUUCAGCAUCAGCGAAUUCACACAGGAGAGAAACCCUAUGAAUGUAGUGAGUGUGGAAAAGCUUUCAGCCAGAGUUUUAAUCUUAUUCACCAUCAAAGAACACACAAUGGUGAGAAGCCCUAUGAAUGUAAUGAAUGUGAUAAAGCCUUCAGUGUGCUUUCUUCCCUUGUUCAACAUCAAAGAAUACAUAACGGAGAGAAACCCUAUGAGUGUCACAAAUGUGGGAAGGCCUUUAGCCAGGGGUCACACCUUAUUCAGCAUCAGAGGAGUCACACUGAUGAGAAACCCUAUGAGUGUAAUGAGUGUGGGAAAACCUUUGGGCAGAUAUCCACCCUAAUUAAGCAUGAGAGAACACACAAUGGAGAGAAGCCCUAUGAGUGCAGUGACUGUGGGAAGGCCUUCAGCCAGAGUGCACACCUUAUCCACCAUCAAAGAAUUCACACUGGAGAGAAUCCCUAUGAGUGCAGUG